AUACGUAGGGGGCGAGCGUUAUCCGGAAUUACUGGGCGUAAAGGGUGCGCAGGCGGCCAUUUAAGUCAGAUGUGAAAGGCUACGGCUUAACCGUAGUUAGCAUUUGAAACUAGAAGGCUUGAGUGCAGUAGAGGAGAGUGGAAUUCCUAGUGUAGCGGUGAAAUGCGUAGAUAUUAGGAGGAACACCAGUGGCGAAGGCGACUCUCUGGACUGCAACUGACGCUGAGGCACGAAAGCGUGGGUAGCGAACAGGAUUAGAUACCCUGGUAGUCCACGCCGUAAACGAUGAGUGCUAAGUGUUGGAGGGUUUCCGCCCUUCAGUGCUGCAGCUAACGCAUUAAGCACUCCGCCUGGGGAGUACGACCGCAAGGUUGAA
rnacentral:rRNA from 1 species